rnacentral:rRNA from 1 species
GAUGAACGCUGGCGGCGUGCCUAAUACAUGCAAGUCGAGCGAAGCGGGGACGGGUGAGUAACACGUGGAUAACCUCCUAUAAGACUGGGAUACUUUCGGGAAACCGGAGCUAAACCGGAUACUUAUCGAUGGAUCCGCGCUGCAUUAGCUAGUUGGUAAGGUAACGGCUUACCAAGGCAACGAUGCAUAGCCGACCUGAGAGGGUGAUCGGCCACACUGGAACGGAGACACGGGCCAGAGUCCUACGGGAGGCAGCAGUAGGGAAUCUUCCGCAAUGGGCGAAAGCCUGACGGAGCAACGCCGCGUGAGUGAUGAAGGCCUUCGGAUGGUAAAACACUGUUAUUAGGGAAGCGGUACCGACUCAGAAAGCAACGGCUAACUACGUGCCAGCCGCCGCGGUAAUUC